GCUGUGUCCCGUGUGCUCGGUGGGGUCGCGGCCGUACGGACUGUGGGAUGUGUGCGGCGAGAGCACGGCUCGGCUGGCUCUUGUCGCGGUGGUGAGGGCAGGUUUCGCUUCGGAGGAGCCCAGGCCGAGCAGCUCAGAAUUAAAGUCGUGCCGCAGUUCGCCCGCCGCCUGUCACGGCAGCGACAUCUCCUUCAGCUCGCUCCCCCCGUGCAGCCCUGUUCCCUCCGGUUUUCCUGUCAUCCCGCUCCUCCUGAGCCCCUGGAUAAUGUCAAACACUGUUUCCUGUCUUAAUUGGUGUGGCCUCCUCACACACUUAGAAGUCUGUCUCCUGUGGUUAGAGUGUUUGCAGGCUGGCUGGAGAGUUUUGUAAACUUGCUGGGAAGUAGACUGGCCUGUGCGUGAGUCCCUGUGCAGAACUGUGUAUGAAGUGCAAAGUCUUCCUAAAAAGAAGCGCUUUAAUUAUGAGCACAGUGAGCCCAGGGAGAUAAUUAAGUAAGGUUUAAAGGGACCACUGGAGGUUAUCUCGUCCAAGCUCCCUCCUUAAGCAGCAUCCCCAAAAACAUGCCACUCGGGAUUGUGUCCAGGCAGCUUUUGGAUAUCUCAAAAGUGAGGGAGACUCCACAACACCUCUCUGGGCAGCCUUUUCCAGUGCUUGGUCACCUACACAGUAAAGAAGUUCUUCCUCAUGUUGAGGUGGAACUCCCUGUGCAUCAGUUUCUGCCCAUUGCCUCAUGUCCCCUUGCUUGGCACCACCAAGAAGAUGCCUGGCUCCAUCCUGUUGACACCCUUCCUUCAGAUGCUGAUAGACAUUGGUGAGGUGCCCUCUUAGUUUUCUCCAGGUGAAAGAGCCCCAGGUCCCUCAGCCUUUCCUCAUACAGAAGAUAUUUCAGUCCCCUAAUCACCUUUGGACAUGGUAGAGUUUUACAAAACCAUGGAGGCAAUGACUGAUGACACAGUUACAGCUCAAUUGCAAAACUGACAUCUAGAUCCAGCUUGAAAUUUUGCUAAUUUAGGGACUAAAGGGGCAGCGUGUACCAGGAGCUGAGGAUUUCAUUUGUGUCUCUGUUAAAUACCAGAUCACAAACACUCUGUCCUGAUGAAGCAAGUACACUCUGUAUGUCCUGUGAUGAGGUUGAGUCAAGAAGAGAUUGUUUCCAAAGGAGCUUGCUUGUGGGUGCAAGAACAUACUUGCAUUUCAAUUUUAGCAGCCCAGAGAUGGGUAGGUUGAAUGGUUCACAGAACCUGGGGCCACUGAGAUUUGCAGACUCACAACAAAUCUGCAGUAGGAGACUUUGGCCUAAAUAGUUCAAUUAUGCUAUUUCAGUCAGCAUAUCUGACCAACCAACCUUCUUCAGGCAGAACUCUGUCUAUGAUAGUUUGUAUUUAAAAAUCUAGUAGAAGGCCUUAGAGAGAACUUUAAAAAAAUAAUUCAGCUUUAGCACUGGGGUACAGCUUCCCUGCAUCUGUGGCUGUGUGGCAGCCUCAGGGAGUGAAUUUUGCUGUGAGCUGAGCCUCACAGGGAAGCAGCCUUGGCAAUAUAACCAGCUGCAGCGCUGUCUGGACUUUGGCUUGGACCUAGUGCCUUGCUUGCUGUUUUUGUAGUACUCUGUAAAACACUGCUUGUGGGCAGAAAAGGCAAUUAUUGCCUAAGUUAUGGAUUCUGGCUCUCUUUGCUUGCAUGUUUUGGCUUUGAUAAUAUUCUGGGCUUAAGUCUUGCUUGCUGCCUUGUAUUUGUAGGCAGAGAGCUAUGGCACAUACAAUAGUAGUUGCACAAGCUGAUUCUUUCACCUCUGACACAGGUUUUUGCAGACAGUCCUAAUUUUGGGACUACUCGCCCAGCUCAAGUUAAGCAAAACUUGCAGAGAAAGAUCCAACAUUUCAUUGUUGAAAUUGUUGAAAAAAAAAUGUUCAUGAACAUUGUUCAUUUGUGCAGUGCCCCUGAUCAGGCUGAAGAGUUGCCUGCUCAGAACUGCAGGCUUUUGCAUGUCUCCUGUUGGGUCAUCUGAGGAAGACUCUGAUGACUCUUUAUCUGACUGAUAAAGAAAGCAGUGCAGUCCUGACCUUGCUCUGGGCUCUUUUCCAUGGGGUUGCAAUAUUCUGAGAAGAAGCCCCAGGGGUGAAGCCACGUGGGAGUACUGCUGAUGGCCCAAUUGGCAUUGGAUGCCACCCCAGGCUACUCUGUCCUGGGAAACCUACCCUUGAUUGGAAUAGGGACAAAAAAGUCUCAGAAAAGGAUGGAAUCUCAUGAAUUAAAAUAAAACAUUGAAGACCUUUACUUUUGCCCCAUAAGUACCUAGAGUUUUCAGGAAUGCUCCUUUUUGCAUUAACAACACUCUCUACUGGGAAUAGCAGGGUGUGUCUAUAAUGUUGCUUAAACAAACACUAGUGGUGAAUCCUGUGGCAUAAAGCCAAGUGAUGUGGCACACACGGUUCAGAGCUUGCCUUGUAACAUCCAGGUGCCUUGGAGAGAACUACCCAGAGUUCCAAAACCAAAGCCAGGGAAAGAGCCAAUUGCUAAGCAACAUGAAUGGUGGGGGAGUUGAGACUGCUCAGCUUGGUCCCUGGUUCUUGUUGAUGUAGCAGAGUCAAAAUAUACCAAUGUGUCUGAAUAAAAUGUAGGCUGACAAAAAUAUGAGCCUCACUAGACUAGGACAGCAGUGAUGUCCCGGGCUCCAAGCCCCGUGUCACAGAAGGGAGCAAUGUAGCAGCAUCCCACUGCAUUAGAGACUCUGUUCCUGUUGCCUAUGUUAACUGCAGCUUUAGCACAAGUCCCUGGCCAGACUUACUCUUUAGCAAGGUCAGUGGUGACAAUGUGUACAUGAAGAUAUCUACUUCCCUCAGUAAACUGCAGAGAAACUUGGAGAUAUUGCUCCAAUCUCUAUUUCUUCUCAAAAUCCAGGAGAAAUGGUGACAGAAUUGGUCAUUAGAGGCUAAAUUAAGCCACUGCUUUCACUACAGAAGGAAUGAGAGACAGUGCAUGUGGACACACCAUCCCAGGAGCAGCCUGAAACAACAACUGUGACCCUGCUGCUUCCUCGCUGAUCUCCUGCUUUCCUGGAGAGUGCUUUCUAUAGCUCUAGAAAGAAUGCACAAAUCAGCCUUGCAUCAUCCAGGUAGUUCAGCAUGUUCCUGUGCUUGAAACUCCCUUGUCCCGUCCCAUAUACCUUUGUUUGACUGGAACCACUACAACACAGCUUUACACCACCCAAACAGACCUAAAUCUUUUCUGGUGCUAUCAGAAGGUAUGGCUGCCUGUGCUCUACAGUCACACUGCUGUGUCUGGAGUUCAUGUCUUUCCUCUGCCAUCCUCUUGUGUCGUUGUUCACCAAAUUGAACAGUCAGGAAAGACCUGUCCCACACAGCUUCGACGUCCUUCAUUUCUGCCUGCCAGGUGGGGGCAGCAGCCUUCAAACAUGCAGGUGAUGAUCACCUUUCCAAGACCAUGAGUGGGAAGGGUGGGAGCAGCUGAGAUACCACGCUGUUGCACACAGGGAGUUCAGGGGCAGCAUCAGAUGGGUCUGCACUCCUUAAGAGCUCCAAGAACUGAAGUAGAGCUCUGCACCUCUAUUGUCUGUGACACCUGAUAGCUAAUUCACUCCCUGGCACUUUUUUGGGGCCUUUUGAAUGAUAUCUGAGAUCAAUAUGUUAUAGAGAGGUCUGGCUCUAAGUAGGAUAGAUACCAGCCAGUCAUUGUCAUUUGCCUGUAGGAGCAGCAGUGAGUGGUGGGCUGUUUUUCAGUAGCGUCAAUGCCAAGGAUCUUUCAGAAAAUAGGAGAGAAAAAGGAGACAGGAGUGAAUCGUGACACCCUCAAACAAAACCUUUUGUUUGCCAUUCCAAACUUUUUUGAGGUAAUUAUUAAGAUUUUAUUUAUUCUUCCAACACAAGCAUUUUUCAGUCAUGAUCUUAAGAAAAUAGGUGCCUUUUUUAUUUUUCUUUUGGAGUUUCUAGUUGUGCUUAAAUCUUCUGUAAUAAAACUUUCUAUCCAUCAAGUUGGACUGCUGAGGCCACAGACAGAAAUGUAAUUAUUCUAAAGCAAUUGAGCACCCAACAGCUCCUUUGAAAAUUAAUGAUAGCUUCUAAUAACUCAGCACUUUUGAAAAGACUUUCAAUUUAAGCCUGAUUUUCUUUUUUUUUUUUCCAGAAGAAUAAUGAACAGUAAAUUUCAGCUAUGUAGUUGUCAAAUGCUCAUGUUGAAAUAGCCUCAGGACACUGAUCACUCGUGCUGCCAGCACUUGGAUGUCACAGCACUAGAAUUCAACAGCCUAAGUAGCAGCUGCUGAACUACUUCAUUUUUCAGGUUUAUAUUUUCAAAUAGGCAGUGAUUUUAUGUUAUCCUGGGUUAAUAAAAUACAUUGUCCUUCAGUAGGACUGUGGAUAUCCAAAGCUGUGAGCAGAGUGAGUGGCUCAGAGGAGACUCUUUGAGACAUCUCCUGCAGAGACUUCCUGCAUGCUAACCCUGUCAUGGCCAAGAGAAAGACCUAACAUCUUGGGGUCGGUAUUUUCAAAAACCCUGUGAAGUUAGAAGUUCAGGUUUCAUUGGAUUUCAGUGCAGGUUGAACACCUAACUUUGUGUCUCUGAAAAAAAUCCCUUUGUAAAGUAAUAAGUCAUUUCUUUGGCCCUACCUAUAUUGUCUUCCAGACAGUAUUUUCAGUGUUUUUUCUAGUUGUAAGUAAAUGCUGUGGGGGCUAUAUAGUACCUGCAGACCUAGCUAGAAGAUAUUAACUUGACUGUACAUUCUUUAUUAAAAAGAGGUUUGCUAUCUGGGCCCUAGGCCCAAAACUCCAUCCAUGCCUCUGUGUAGCAGGGACAUCUUGAAGGCAUGUCUUGCAGAUCAUUUAAUGUCCAGAUCUGUGCACAUCAUGUGUCAAUAAUUACUAUUGUUCGUAACAUCAAUGAUAGGGCUUUCAUCACUCCCUGGGAGAAGUGAUUUUGCAGCCUAAUAUAUGUCACUGUUGGAAGGCUUCUCUUGAUACUUUUAUAAUGGUUUUUAGCACUGGAAGACUCUGAAGAUAGAGAGCAGAAAGCUCACUGCACUAGCUGGAGCUCAGUAUGCAUGUGCAUAUGCCUGUGCAUAGAGAUGAGGUAACUGGUCAGACAUGGCAUCAUUUUACAUUCCCCUCCCACACCAGAAAAGCACCUUCCUUCUUUAUCCUAUUUAUAGAAAAUGGAAGAAUUUACUUGGUUCUUUUUCUGGACAAGAAAUGUAAUGUUAAUGUUUUAUACAGAUCUCUUCGGUCAAAAGCCCAGGAUGAAAUCGAUACAGCCCUGGCUGGGAGAGCAUGCUGCCCCUAAAAACAAGUUUUCUAACAAUCAGUGUCUGGACCUACCCUGCCCUGCCAGGGCGUCAGAAGAAGAGAACAUAUGUACAAAGUGUAAGUGAAUAUAUUUGAGGAGAAAGCACUAAAGGAUGAUUUUUAAAAAAUCUGUCCCCCUGUGUUCAUAAGCUUGUUUGUGUGAUGUUAGUGACAGCUGGAUGUGAAGACCAGGGCUGAGUGCAACCUGGAAAACCAACAGGAUGCCCAAGCUUUCUCCAAUCUGGCUCUCCUUGCAAUGCAAUGCAAGAGAUCAUGUCCUUGGAGGUCUAAGCAAGGUCAUCUUGUAGGACUCAGCUUUUGACAUGAGUAUCACUCCAGUAGGAAAGCUGAACUGAGAAGUGAAUGUUCUAUCACUAGAGUUCAGGCAAAUGUUGAUGCAAAUGUUGAAAAUGUUCAGGGAGGAGUUAUGAACCUUCCUAGAUGCCCUACAAAUCAGUGGAAGACACAGAGAUCAUGGUAUUUAUUUUCAUAGUGUAAAAAUAUGCUCAUGGCUUUAAUAAAUAUGAAAAAAAAUACAUACAAAUGUAGGGGGGAAGUACUAAAAACAAGAUAAUAACAAGUAGAAUUUUGUAUUAAUGUCAUUCUUAUUAUGUAAGCUGCUUCUGCAAGUGUCUGUCUAUCCUGACUUUAGCUGACUCUAAAGGGACCAAGGAUGCUUCAACUACUAAUUCAGACACAUCAAUUUAUACUUUAAAGGAUGGUUUGGGGUGAAAGUGGUAUUUAAACAGCAGGGUAAAACCUUGCUCCUUUAAAAUCAAAAGCAUGAUUAAAGAAUUGGGAAAAACACCUUACAAUAAGAAACUCAGAAAGUUCGAUCUAUUUGGAUUAAUAAAAAAGUCCAAAAGAUAACUUAAUCACAGCCUGACAUUACCUAUAGGGUUAAUCUCAGUAAUGACUUCUCAACCUGUCCAGCAAAGAUAGAACAAAAGUCGGUGGCUGGAAGCUGAAGAUAACUCAGACUAGAAACCAAACGUAAUUAUUGGCGGUGACAACGAAUAAUAAUAGUAAGGGUGCCUGCUGAUCCUUUAACUAAAGAACUCUCAAAAUCAAAUUUAUAUUAAAAAAUACGCUGCAAAUCAGGCAGUCGAUAAUUGAGGAAGGAAUAUAGCUUUUUCUGUGCCAGAUUCAGGCCAGUGUCUCACACUGUCCAGUAAUCCAAGAAUCUAUAAAUCCACUAUCCAGGAGUUUUGCUAUUUUGAGCUGUUUAAAGAAAAUGUUAUCUACGUGCUUAUCAUGGUGACAUUGGAUCACUGUUAUAUGCAUAAGGUUCAAAGCAGGUUAAUUACCAUUUUUUCCAACUCCAGCCUCUCAUAUGAUUUGCCACUGCCUCUCACAGCACUCUUGUUUUCAAAACUAAUUCCCAUUAUCAAAAAGACUUUCCAAAGCAAACACAGCAGUGUAGCACUUUCUAAUAUUUAUUUUGUAUUCUCAAAGAAGAGGCAAUAGUGUUAGGAGUUUUUUUGGGGUGAGAAGUUCUUCUUCUACAAAGGUACUUGUGUCCACUGUAGUUUUGCUUAGUCCAAGGACUAGGUUCAUGGGCCAAGGCUUUGCUUUGUAAUUUCUGAAUAUGCAGUAGGUGGUUUAUUUCAUCAGAAUUAGGUAAAGGCCUUAUUCUAGUAGCCGCAAACUCUGCUUCAAACUCAGCACCUAACUGCAGCAGGAGAUGGCAGAUGAAAAGGGGUUUCAUAUACUGAGACAAAGAUGCAUAGUUUUUAAGGUCACUAUGAUUCUCCCUCUAGCCUUCUUUCCUACAUAAUUUGGAAAAACAAUAAACUCCAACCAAAACCUUCUCCCAGGGAAGCCUGCCUCUUACUUUG